rnacentral:rRNA from 1 species
GCUGGCGGCGCGCUUAACACAUGCAAGUCGGACGAGAAAGCCGGGGCAACCUGGUGAGUACAGUGGCGUACGGGUGAGUAACACGUGGGUAAUCUACCCUUGAGUGGGGAAUAACGCUGGGAAACCGGCGCUAAUACCGCAUAAACCCGAGAGGGGAAAGCAGCAAUGCGCUGAAGGAGGAGCCCGCGGCCGAUUAGCUGGUUGGUAGGGUAACGGCCUACCAAGGCUGAGAUCGGUAGCCGGCCUGAGAGGGCACACGGCCACACUGGCACUGAAACACGGGCCAGACUCCUACGGGAGGCAGCAGUGGGGAAUCUUGCACAAUGGGGGCAACCCUGAUGCAGCGACGCCGCGUGAGCGAUGAAGCCCUUCGGGGUGUAAAGCUCUUUCGGCAGGGAAGAUGGUGACGGUACCUGCAGAAGCAGCUGCGGCUAACUACGUGCCAGCAGCCGCGGUAAUACGUANGCAGCGAGCGUUGUUCGGAGUUACUGGGCGUAAAGGGUGUGUAGGCGGCCUAUUAAGUUUGGUGUGAAAUCUUCCGGCUCAACCGGGAGGGUGCGCCGAAAACUGGG